UACGGAGGGGGUUAGCGUUGUUCGGAAUGACUGGGCGUAAAGCGCGCGUAGGCGGAUCAUCAAGUCGGGGGUGAAAUCCCAGGGCUCAACCCUGGAACUGCCUCUAAUACUGGCAAUCUAGAGUCCGAGAGAGGUGAGUGGAAUUCCGAGUGUAGAGGUGAAAUUCGUAGAUAUUCGGAGGAACACCAGUGGCGAAGGCGGCUCACUGGCUCGGUACUGACGCUGAGGUGCGAAAGCGUGGGGAGCAAACAGG
rnacentral:rRNA from 1 species